UACGUAGGGCGCAAGCGUUGUCCGGAAUUAUUGGGCGUAAAGAGCUCGUAGGCGGCCUGUUACGUCUGCUGUGAAAUCCCGGGGCUUAACCCCGGGCGUGCAGUGGAUACGGGCAGGCUGGAGGCAGGCAGGGGAGAACGGAAUUCCUGGUGUAGCGGUGGAAUGCGCAGAUAUCAGGAGGAACACCGGUGGCGAAGGCGGGUCUCUGGGCAGUAACUGACGCUGAGGAGCGAAAGCGUGGGGAGCGAACAGG
rnacentral:rRNA from 1 species